ensembl:lncRNA novel transcript, antisense to EID2B
CUGCUUCCCUCGCCUUGCAGCCUUCCACAAACAGCCUGCGGCGUUCCUCGAAAUCCCGUAGUAAUCUGACCGGAAUCAUGGAGCUACCAUCCAGAUACUCGCGGAACAACAGCUGCCGGUUAAUUUCUAAGAAAGCGAGCUGCUGAUGGGGGUCUGGCGCGGAGGCCAGGCCCGGGACGCUGCUGGGGAUGGGCCCGGGCACAGGGCCCGGCAUCCGCGCCAUGGACCGCGCAGCUUCGGCCACUGGGCCUUCCCGAGCCUCCUGCACCCGAACCCCGCCGCCGACUGCCCCCCGCAGUACGUCGCUGACGCCACUCGCGGUGCCCACCUGUGGGACACUGCUAUCUCCGGGGAGCUCGGACAUCUCCAACAGCCCAGUCGGCUCCGCCAUAGUCCCAGCGUUUCUACGGAGACUGGAAUAACGGCACUGCACUGCUACUGGGUCUCGCCCUGUCGCCUAGGCUGGAGUGCAGUGGUGCGAUCUCGGUUACUGCUGCUUUGACCUCCCAGCCUCAAGCCAUCCUCCUGCCUCAGCCUCUGGAGUAACUGGAACUACAGUUCUCUUGGAGAGAUGGAGUUCUCCUACAUGUGACAUAUAUGCUUCAAAAAGCACAUUUGUGAUAUUCCACAGAAGACAAAAGAAAGGA